UGAGGAGGGCCCAUAUCCAGGUCGAAACGUUAACUAAAAAUACGUUUUCUUAAUUGACCGAUCACCAAGACUCUGUAAUAUAUUACAUACGAGGUCGAGAAUUCUUAUUCAUCAACUAUUAUGAAAACAUGUGGGACUCAUGGGAUUAAGAUGGAAUGCAACUCACAAUGAUCUAGACCCUGAUCGACGGCUGCUGGUCACUUCCCCUGGUGUAUGAGACCUCUCCCGGCUACGGCUUCGCAAAUCAUAAUGAUGUUCAGUAGACGCAGUAAAUUUUCGUGGUAUUCGAAAAAAUCUCAGACAUAACAUAAACGUAAGAAAUUACAACACGCUCGGAGUGAAAGGUGUGGAACGGUCUCGGAAAUAUUAAGGAUAUUUCUUAUACUCCGAGGAAGUAGGUACGGUAGGCAGAUGCGUAAGACAUGACUGAAUUCAAACGAAGGGGAAGAACAGCGUGUACAUAUACGUAUGCAGCACGAACAACAGCAGCUGCCCGCCACCCGUAAUACUACUACGAGUUCCACGUAAAUCGACUACAGAAUAUCUAAAAAUAGACAACUUACCAAGCUUAUCCCGAAGUGCAGGAGAGUCGCGGUGUCGCUGGUAUUACGGGUACGUAAAACACCGUAUUAUCGCGUGUACUUCACAGAAAAAAUGUUCACAUAAAUUAAACUUAAAUAACACGAGUACAUAAGCUACAGUAUGUACAGAAUACCGAACACAUCUAAUCCCAUUAGUUUACU